rnacentral:rRNA from 1 species
AUGGAUGUGCCAGAGCUGUUCGACCUCUAUGCCAUGGCCCAUAGUGCCCCGUAUAAGACGGCCAAGGCAUUCUCUGAGUCUGAUCUUGAUGAUCCAAAGAACUUCACCAACCGCGCCUCCCACAACAAGCUCGCGAGGUACAGAGAUGAGGGGAAGGCGAGGAAAGGGCCGGACUUUAACCCGAGCCAGCCUAUUGAUCCAGAGCUGGUGAUGAUAUCUGGUGGCGGGAGGCACCAUGGCUUGCUAGCCAUUGGGGAUGGACUGAUACGUUGUACUAGCACUCUCGUGCAGAUCAAGAGGCGCCAGACGAGCUCCGAUCCUGAGAUAAGGCCUCGUCCACGGCCAAUGGAUCUCGAAAUCAAGUUUAGCUACUAUUGA